rnacentral:rRNA from 1 species
GAUGAACGCUGGCGGCGUGCCUAAUACAUGCAAGUCGAGCGAACGGACGAGAAGCUUGCUUCUCUGAUGUUAGCGGCGGACGGGUGAGUAACACGUGGAUAACCUACCUAUAAGACUGGGAUAACUUCGGGAAACCGGAGCUAAUACCGGAUAAUAUUUUGAACCGCAUGGUUCAAAAGUGAAAGACGGUCUUGCUGUCACUUAUAGAUGGAUCCGCGCUGCAUUAGCUAGUUGGUAAGGUAACGGCUUACCAAGGCAACGAUGCAUAGCCGACCUGAGAGGGUGAUCGGCCACACUGGAAGUGAGACACGGUCCAGACUCCUAAGGGAGGCAGCAGUAGGGAAUGUUCCGCAAUGGGCGAAAGCCUGACGGAGCAACGCCGCGUGAGUGAUGAAGGUCUUCGGAUCGUAAAACUCUGUUAUUAGGGAAGAACAUAUGUGUAAGUAACUGUGCACAUCUUGACGGUACCUAAUCAGAAAGCCACGGCUAACUACGUG